rnacentral:rRNA from 1 species
UUUCGCCCUCAAAUCAGGUAGGACUACCCGCUGAACUUAAGCAUAUCAAUAAGCGGAGGAAAAGAAACCAACAGGGAUUGCCUCAGUAACGGCGAGUGAAGCGGCAAAAGCUCAAAUUUGAAAUCCUUCGGGAGUUGUAAUUUGUAGGUUGGGAGACCCCGCGGCUAGUGGCACCAAGUCCCUUGGAACAGGGCGCCUUAGAGGGUGAGAGCCCCGUAGGUACCACAAUACCGUCUUGUGUCUCCUCUCCAAAGAGUCGAGUUGUUUGGGAAUGCAGCUCAAAGUGGGUGGUAAAUUCCAUCUAAAGCUAAAUACCGGCGAGAGACCGAUAGCGAACAAGUACAGUGAUGGAAAGAUGAAAAGCACUUUGAAAAGAGAGUGAAACAGUACGUGAAAUUGUUGAAAGGGAAGGGCUUGCAAGCAGACACGGCCUUCGUGCCGGGCCAGCAUCGGUUGCUAGGGGUGGAUAAGGAACAAGGAAUGUAGCUCCUCGGAGUAUUAUAGCCUUGCGCGAUACACCCACUGGCGACCGAGGCCUGCGGUAUUCUUUACCUAGGAUGCUGGCGUA